rnacentral:rRNA from 1 species
ACAACAGGUUGAUAUUCCUGUACUACCGAUAACCGUUUGAGAGAAGGGAUGACACAGUAGGAUAAGCUAAGCACACUGUUGGUUAUGUGUGCCCAAGCAUUGAGGCAGUCAAAGUAGGCAAAUCCGCGUUGAUAAUGCUGGGAUGUGAUGGGGAGCGAAAUUUAGUAGCGAAGUAGCUGAUUUCACACUGUCAAGAAAAGUCUCUAUCGA